AUCUUUCGAUGACCGCAUGAUCAUUCCAGACUCUGCUUCUGUUGAGAGAGAAAUUAAAGGGGUCAGUGCUCUAAAAUGAGUCUCUCUGGGGAGAGAGAGGAGGGGGGCCCUGCCUCUAAAAUGAGUCUAUCUGGGGAACAUGACACCACAGCUAAGAGCCCAAUCAAGCAGGAGAGACCGGCCUCCCUUGUACCCAGCUGUGUGUCCAUGAAGAGUGAUAAGUCUAUGGAUUAUCCUAUAUAUUUUUCUACUGAACAAAGAAACCAACAAGAGAGAUCAGAGUCAGAGAUUCUCAGUGGUCAGUCUUCCCAAAGUCAUCAAACAGACCUGGCCUUCAUAUUCAGU